rnacentral:lncRNA from 1 species
AAAAUUUCUUCUUGCUCAGAGUUUGGUUUCAGCACAUUUCACAUUUAACUCCACAUCUUCGUCUUUGUAGAGAAAACUUGGAAUAUGAUACUUUUUGGAUUUGGUGGUGAUGAAAUUAAAAGCUACAGCAGCACAUGCUAGGGGUUUUGCUGGCCAAGCAUCCGGUGGCGCAAAGGGUAGCCAGGCAAAGUGUCACGACUUUGGACACACUCCAACGCUACCGUGCCGGCACUCGGACUUACUCAAUCUUUUGAGCUAAGACCAAGUCAGCCUAACCCUCAAUACUUAGCAAGAAAGCUAAGAAUACAAAAAAACACAAGAGAAAUAAAAUUUUGGUGGAAGAACACUUUAUUGCUUAAGUGUUUGUUACAAAUGAUUCACACACAUCUCACACUACUACUCUUCAUACUUUUAUAUCCAUCUACACUCUUCUAGAACCUUCUAGGGUAUUCCGGGACCUUCUAGGACAUUCUAGAACGUUUCGGAACCAUUUAGAGCAUUCUCAAAUACUUUAGAAAACUCUACAAACACUGUUAAAUUUAAUCUUAUAAAAUUUACCGUGACAUUCUCCCCCACCUAAUGCGCAGACGUCCUCGUCGCGUUUUGUUCAUGGUAGCGUUCUAGGUGUUCUUGGAAUUGCCACAGAUCUUCACGAGCUUCCCAGCUAGCUUCGGUUAUGGGAAGUCCUUUCCAC